UCCGGCGUGGCGCAAUGGUAGCGCGAGGGCCUGUUAAGCCCCAGGUUGCAGGUUCGAAUCCUGCCGCCGGAG
rnacentral:tRNA from 1 species